AAUAGAUACCCAGGUAGUCCACGCCCUAAACGAUGAUAACUCGAUGUUAGCGAUAUACAGUUAGCGUCUUAGCGAAAACGUUAAGUUAUCCACCUGGGGAGUACGCCCGCAAGGGUGAAACUCAAAGGAAUUGACGGGGGCCCGCACAAGCGGAGGAGCAUGUGGUUUAAUUCGAUGAUACGCGAGGAACCUUACCCGGGCUUGAAAGUUACUGAAUUAUCUAGAGAUAGAUAAGUCCUUCGGACAGGAAACUAGGUGCUGCAUGGCUGUCGUCAGCUCGUGCCGUGAGGUGUUGGGUUAAGUCCCGCAACGAGCGCAACCCUAUGUUAGUUGCCAGCAUGUAGUGGUGGGGACUCUAAACAGACUGCCUGCGUAAGCAGAGAGGAAGGUGGGGACGACGUCAAGUCAUCAUGGCCCUUACGUCCGGGGCUACACACGUGCUACAAUGGAUGGUACAGCGGGCAGCUACCUUGUAAGAGGAUGCUAAUCUCGAAAAGCCAUUCACAGUUCGGAUUGAGGUCUGCAACUCCG
rnacentral:rRNA from 1 species